GGGUUCAUGUGAACCAAGUUUCUGCCCUUCUGGCGGAAACCAGGUUCGGCCGCCGAAGGGAGUUUCGGCCGCCGAACCCCCUUUGUGGAGGCAGCAUUCGGCUGCCGAAGAUGCCCCCGAAAAGAGACUUUCGUCUCUGUCUGGGACUUUCGGCCGCCGAAGGUGCCGCCGAAAGUGCCCUGUUCAGCCAUUUCAUGCAUAUCUCUAUGUGAUAUUUUCAGGAUGUUUUAGGGGGUUUUUGGGGAGUAGUUUAGAGUUAUGUUCAAGUAUGUUUGGUCCCUCAUUUGAGUCCACCUGUGUAGGUUCGGACCCGAGGAACCGAGGACCCCAGCAGUGAGUUCAGCUGCUUCGGUGUUGUCAGAGUCAGCCAGAGGUGAGUGGAACUAAACUCAAUCUUUUAAAUUAAAUGGUUUAUCAUGUUUCAUGCAUCAUGAUUAUGCAAUAGGAUGAUUGCAUUAGUUUUCACGAAUAUGCCGCAUUGCAUAAAUGGUUGUUGUUGUGGGUGAAUGUCGGAUGACCCAGUUAGUCCAUGACAGGAAGACCAGGCCCUAUGCUACAGGCCUGGCACAGAGUAAGAAAGACCAGGCCCCAUUCUACAGGCCUGGCACAGAGUAAGGAAAGACCAGGAUCCCAUCCUAUGGUCUAGCACGGUUACGGGACUCGAAGACCAGGAGCUCAGAGGAGGCCCUGGGAAAAUGGUAAGUAAAGUAUGUUCUGACAGGAAAGACCAGGACCCCAUUCUACAGGCCUGGCACAGAGUUAACUUGGACUAAUUGGUGACAAGUUCACCCAACCCUUAUGUGAAUUGUUUGUGUUAUGAUGCAUUUCAUAGAGCAUAGUGUUAAUGUGUUUUAAUAGUUCAGCUCACUGGGCUUUUAGCUCACCCCUCUCCCUUUACCCCCAG
rnacentral:lncRNA from 1 species